rnacentral:pre_miRNA from 1 species
AGAGGAAUAGCUGGGUCAAAUGGUGGCUCCAUUCUCUGAUUUACAAGGAAUCUCCAUAUUACUUUCCAAAUUGGCUGCACCAAUUUUCAGUCCCACCAGCAAU